AUCUACUGCCAUACCAACGGGAAGGCACCCAAUCUCAUCUGAUCUCGGAAGAUAAGCUGUGUUGGGCUGUUAUGCCCAGACCGUUUGUU
rnacentral:rRNA from 10 species